rnacentral:rRNA from 1 species
UACGUAGGGUGCAAGCGUUGUCCGGAAUUAUUGGGCGUAAAGGACUCGUAGGCGGUCCAUCGCGUCGGGAGUGAAAAGCUGGGGCUUAACCCCAGUCCUGCUUCCGAUACGGGUGGACUAGAGGUAGGUAGGGGAGAUCGGAAUUCCUGGAUGUGAGCGGUGGAAAUACGGCAGAUAUCAGGAGGAACACCGGUGGCGAAGGCAGGUCUCUGGGCCACUACUGACGCUGAGAAGCGAAAGCAUGGGGAGCGAACAGG